rnacentral:rRNA from 1 species
GAUGAACGCUGGCGGCGUGCUUAACACAUGCAAGUCGAACGGAGCUUACAUGAUAGAGGAUUCGUCCAAUUGACUGUAAGCUUAGUGGCGGACGGGUGAGUAACGCGUGAGUAACCUGCCUUGGAGUGGGGAAUAACACAGAGAAAUUUGUGCUAAUACCGCAUAAUGCAGUUGGGUCGCAUGGCUCUGACUGCCAAAGAUUUAUCGCUCUUAGAUGGACUCGCGUCUGAUUAGCUAGUUGCGGGUAACGCCACAAGGCGACGAUCAGUAGCCGGACUGAGAGGAUGAACGGCCACAUUGGGACUGAGAUACGGGCCCAGACUCC